GUCACACUGCCAAGAAAAGCUUCUAGUGAGAAAGUAACUGCCCGUACCGCAAACCGACACAGGUAGUUGAGGAGAGAAUCCUAAGGUGUGCGAGAGAACUCUCGUUAAGGAACUCGGCAAAAUGACCCCGUAACUUCGGGAGAAGGGGUGCUGACCGCAAGGUCAGCCGCAGUGAAUAGGCCCAAGCGACUGUUUAUCAAAAACACAGGUCUCUGCAAAAUCGAAAGAUGACGUAUAGGGGCUGACGCCUGCCCGGUGCUGGAAGGUUAAGAGGAGAGGUUAGCGCAAGCGAAGCUUUGAAUUGAAGCCCCAGUAAACGGCGGCCGUAACGAUAACGGUCCUAAGGUAGCGAAAUUCCUUGUCGGGUAAGUUCCGACCCGCACGAAAGGCGUAACGAUUUGGGCACUGUCUCAACGAGAGACUCGGUGAAAUUAUAGUACCAGUGAAGAUGCUGGUUACCCGCGACAGGACGGGAAGACCCCAUGGAGCUUUACUGCAGUUUGAUAUUGCGUGUUUGUAUCACAUGUACAGGAUAGGUAGGAGCCGAAGAUACCGGGACGCCAGUCUCGGAGGAGGCAACGGUGGGAUACUACCCUUGUGAUAUGACCACUCUAACCCGCUGCUCUUAGCGAGCAGGGAGACAGUGUCAGACGGGCAGUUUGACUGGGGCGGUCGCCUCCAAAAAUGUAACGGAGGCGCCCAAAGGUUCCCUCAGAAUGGUUGGAAAUCAUUCGUAGAGUGUAAAGGCAGAAGGGAGCUUGACUGCGAGACCUACAAGUCGAGCAGGGACGAAAGUCGGGCUUAGUGAUCCGGUGGUUCCGCAUGGAAGGGCCAUCGCUCAACGGAUAAAAGCUACCCUGGGGAUAACAGGCUUAUCUCCCCCAAGAGUUCACAUCGACGGGGAGGUUUGGCACCUCGAUGUCGGCUCAUCGCAUCCUGGGGCUGUAGUCGGUCCCAAGGGUUGGGCUGUUCGCCCAUUAAAGCGGUACGCGAGCUGGGUUCAGAACGUCGUGAGACAGUUCGGUCCCUAUCCGUCGCGGGCGUUGGAAAUUUGAGAGGAGCUGUCCUUAGUACGAGAGGACCGGGAUGGACACACCGCUGGUGUACCAGUUGUUCUGCCAAGAGCAUCGCUGGGUAGCUAUGUGUGGACGGGAUAAACGCUGAAAGCAUCUAAGCGUGAAGCCCCCCUCAAGAUGAGAUUUCCCAUCACUUUAAGUGAGUAAGACCCCUGAGAGAUGAUCAGGUAGAUAGGUUGGGGGUGGAAGUACAGCGAUGUAUGGAGCGGACCAAUACUAAUCGGUCGAGGACUUAACC
rnacentral:rRNA from 1 species